GAUGAACGCUGGCGGCGUGCCUAAUACAUGCAAGUCGAGCGAACGGACGAGAAGCUUGCUUCUCUGAUGUUAGCGGCGGACGGGUGAGUAACACGUGGAUAACCUACCUAUAAGACUGGGAUAACUUCGGGAAACCGGAGCUAAUACCGGAUAAUAUUUUGAACCGCAUGGUUCAAAAGUGAAAGACGGUCUUGCUGUCACUUAUAGAUGGAUCCGCGCUGCAUUAGCUAGUUGGUAAGGUAACGGCUUACCAAGGCAACGAUGCAUAGCCGACCUGAGAGGGUGAUCGGCCACACUGGAACUGAGACACGGUCCAGACUCCUACGGGAGGCAGCAGUAGGGAAUCUUCCGCAAUGGGCGAAAGCCUGACGGAGCAACGCCGCGUGAGUGAUGAAGGUCUUCGGAUGGUAAAACUCUGUUAUUAGGGAAGAACAUAUGUGUAAGUAACUGUGCACAUCUUGACGGUACCUAAUCAGAAAGCCACGGCUAACUACGUG
rnacentral:rRNA from 1 species